GAAGUAAAAGUCGUAACAAGGUUUCCGUAGGUGAACCUGCGGAAGGAUCAUUAUCGAAAUUAUUGGUGAGGGUUGUAGCUGGCCUUUCGAGGCAUGUGCACGCUCGAGCCCUUAAUCCACUUUACACCUGUGCACUUAAUGUAGGUCGCCCUUAAAAAAGGUGACCUAUGUCUUAUCAUCAACCCAUCGUAUGUCUCAUAGAAUGUAAUCGAUAUCCUCGCCCUGAAAAAGCGUUGAUAAACUUAUACAACUUUCAACAACGGAUCUCUUGGCUCUCGCAUCGAUGAAGAACGCAGCGAAAUGCGAUAAGUAAUGUGAAUUGCAGAUUUUCAGUGAAUCAUCGAAUCUUUGAACGCACCUUGCGCUCCUUGGUAUUCCGAGGAGCAUGCCUGUUUGAGUGUCAUUAAAUUCUCAACUCCAAGGGUUUCACGACCUUUCGGAGAUUGGACUUGGAGGUGCUGGCCGCAUAUUGGUCGGCUCCUCUCAAAUGCAUCAGCGGAAUUCAACCUUUGGCUUCCGGAUGUCAGUGUGAUAAUCAUGUUGCGCUGUCGUUUGAUCCCUCAGAGUCCGCUUAUAAUGGUCUUCGGACAAAAUCAUCAUCAAAUUUGACCUCAAAUCAGGUAGGACUACCCGCUGAACUUAAGCA
rnacentral:rRNA from 1 species